GAUCAUGGCUCAGGACGAACGCUGGCGGCGUGCUUAACACAUGCAAGUUGAACGGUAUGACAUGGAAGCUUGCUGAAGUGUCAUAUAGUAGCGGACGGGUGAGUAAUGCAUGAGAAGCUGCCAUUGGGAGGGGGACAACAGUUGGAAACGGCUGCUAAUACCCCGUAUGCCGGAGGGUGAAAGGGAGUAAUCCGCCCGAUGAGGUGCUCAUGUCCUAUCAGCUGGUUGGUGGGGUAACGGCCUACCAAGGCGACGACGGGUAGCCGGCCUGAGAGGGUGAACGGCCACACUGGAACUGAGAUACGGUCCAGACUCCUACGGGAGGCAGCAGUGGGGAAUAUUGGGCAAAUGGGGGCAACCCUGACCCAGCGACGCCGCGUGGGGGAAGACGGCCUUCGGGUUGUAAACCUCUUUUGUACGGGAAGAAGGAAGUGACGGUACUGUACGAAUAAGUCCCGGCUAACUACGUGCCAGCCGCUGC
rnacentral:rRNA from 1 species